UUUUAGCUGUCUUGUUUGCAUUUAUUUUUUUCUGUAAAAGGAAGCUAUCCAAGUGUUCAGCCUUUUAUACUGUGGACUAUAGGAUUCUUGUGAAAUUUUUGUUGAUCUGCAGGACUAUAAAUAUUUCAGUAUACUGAGAAUUUUCUUGAGCAUUUGAGAGAAAACAGGACGAAGCUAUCAAAUCAAAUGUAAGAUAUUCAUCUUUUGAGGAAACAUGGGGUGCCGAUAAAGAAAUCAGACAUCAUCAAAUGGCAUAAAUUGCAGCAAUUGUCCUUUCUGAAAUCACAGUGUGAGUAUCACUAUAUGUGAUGCGGUAGGGGAUGGGAUCAACACAAAAGCAUUUCAGAAUGUCAUCUUCUACCUCAACUCAUGCAAAAGAUAUUCACUUUUACGAGUCAUAUAAUGCCAUCAGAUUAAAGAGACUUCUCCUGGAAGGGGUGGUUAUGUUAUAAACAUCUUGAUUUAAGUUUUUCAUCUUGAUUGAAGUUUCAAGAUUGAAAGUGCAAAGCUAAUGCGUGAAGAUUAUUAUGUAGAAUAGGUUGAAUAUGAAUUAUCAAUUAUGUACUCUUACUGAAUAUGUACUAUUGAACUUCAGUAGUUGAACGAUGAUGUAACAAGUUUUGAUUGCAAUAAAACGAGACUUGAAAUCUAAUUCUUUGUCAACUUUAGUACUCCAAACUAUGAACUUUUAAAGAAGCUUCA